GCCAAAAAUCUAGCCCCCCACCUUUAAAAAUUAUUCUUCUACUUGACUAACCAAAACAAAUCAUUUUCCCAAUUUAGUGUAGGCGAUAAAAAAAUUAACUGGAGCUAUAAAACUAGUACCGCAAGGGAAAGCUGAAAUAUAAGUGAAAUAAACGCUUAAGCAUAAAAAAGUAGAGACCUCCCCUUGUACCUUUUGCAUCAUGGUUUAACUAGUCCUUAUCAAGCAAAAAGAAUUUAAGUUUGACCCCCCGAAACUAAGUGAGCUACUCCAAGGCAGCCUUAUGGGCCAACCCGUCUCUGUUGCAAAAGAGUGGGAAGACCUUUGAGUAGAGGUGAUAGACCAAACGAACUUAGUGAUAGCUGGUUACCCGAUAAAAGAAUUUUAGUUCUACCUAAAGCCCCUACAAGUCUUAUAAACUGAUACUAGUGCUUUAGAGUUAUUCAAAUAAGGUACAGCCUGUUUGAACAAGGAAACAACCUAAACUAAUGGGUUAAUUCUGCUACAGUAUACUAAAGUGGGCCUAAAAGCAGCCACCUUAAACAAUAGCGUCAAAGCUUUUCUACACACGCACAUUAAUCUCUAAAUUCAACCCAAACCCUUUAUCCUCAUCGAGUAAUUCUAUAACUAUAUAGAAUAUAAAAUGUUAAAACUAGUAACAAGAAGAAAACCCUUCUCUUAAAUGUUAGUGUAAGCCAGAAAGGAUAAACCACUGUCAAUUAACACUAAUGAUUCAUAAUUAGCAACACCACAAGAAAAUCCUAAUAAAACAAGUGUUAAACUAACACAAGAACAUUUCAAGAAAGAUUAAAAGAAAAAGAAGGAACUCGGCAAACAUCAACCCCGCCUGUUUACCAAAAACAUCGCCUCUUGACAAAUAUAAGAGGUCCAGCCUGCCCAGUGACCUAGUUCAACGGCCGCGGUAUCCUAACCGUGCGAAGGUAGCGUAAUCACUUGUUCUUUAAAUGAGGACUAGUAUGAAUGGCACCACGAGGGUUACACUGUCUCCUUUUUUUAAUCAGUGAAACUAAUCUUCCCGUGAAGAAGCGGGAAUUUUUUUAUAAGACGAGAAGACCCUAUGGAGCUUUAAACAAAUUAACACUUGCCACCCAAAAAUAAUUAUUUCAGAAACACAACACACAGCAUAGCAUUAUGGUUAAUAGUUUUCGAUUGGGGUGAUCACGGAGUAAAAAACAACCUCCCUGCCGAAGGGGCCCUUCCCUGAGCAAAAAGCCACUACUUUAUGCACUAAAAAAUUAACGCCUAUUGACCCAAUUUAUUGAUCAACGAACCAAGUUACCCUAGGGAUAACAGCGCAAUCCACUUCAAGAGCUCCUAUCGACAAGUGGGUUUACGACCUCGAUGUUGGAUCAGGGUAUCCCAGUGGUGCAGCCGCUACUAACGGUUCGUUUGUUCAACGAUUAAAACCCU
rnacentral:rRNA from 1 species